rnacentral:rRNA from 1 species
AGUGAACGCUGGCGGUAGGCCUAACACAUGCAAGUCGAACGGCAGCACCGUAAGAGCUUGCUCUUACGGGUGGCGAGUGGCGGACGGGUGAGGAAUACAUCGGAAUCUACUUUUUCGUGGGGGAUAACGUAGGGAAACUUACGCUAAUACCGCAUACGACCUACGGGUGAAAGCAGGGGAUCUUCGGACCUUGCGCGAUUGAAUGGGCCGAUGUCGGAUUAGCUAGUUGGCGGGGUAAAGGCCCACCAAGGCGACGAUCCGUAGCUGGUCCGAGAGGAUGAUCAGCCAGACUGGAACUGAGACACGGCCCAUACUCCUAGGGGAGGCAGCAGUGGGGAAUAUUAGACAAUGGGCGCAAGCCUGAUCCAGCCAUACCGCGUGGGUGGAGAAGGCCUUCGGGUUGUAAAGCCCUUUUGUUGGGAAAGAAAAGCAGCAGGUUAAUACCCCGCUGUUCUGACGGUACCCAAAGAAUAAGCACCGGCUAACUUCGUG